rnacentral:rRNA from 1 species
GUAAGCAACGUGCCCCGAAAUCUGGGAUAUACAGUCGAAAGACUGGGCAAUACCGGAUACGGCCACCAGAAGGCAUCUUUUGGUGAUUAAAUGGUUUUUCGCUCCGGGAGCGGCUUACGGCCUAUCAGCUAGUUGGUGGGGUAAAGGCCUACCAAGGCUACGACGGGUAGGGGGUCUGAGAGGAUGAUCCCCCCGAGUGGGACUGAGACACGGCC